rnacentral:lncRNA from 1 species
AGCCAGGCCAGCGAAUUUCCCUAACUGGACUGGGGCUAGGGCUGCCAGUCACAAAUCUGGACCAAGGGCGGCCCCUGGUGGCUACAUGUAGUCUCUGCACUCAUGCUUAGGGAGAUGACUGGCUGCCGGGUUGCACAGUCCUGGGGGAAGACAGGCCUAGGCUGGAAGGCCAGAGUCCAAAAGUGAGAACCCAGACUCGGAAUUCAGAAACUGUAUCCAGACCUCAGAAUGCAGAAUAAACACCUAGAUUCUGGGCUUGGGGAUGUAGGUCAGUGAUACUGUUUGCCUAGCAUGCACCAGCUCCUGGGUUCUAUCCCCAGCACCAAGGAGGGUAGAGAGAGAGACAGAUAGACAAACAGAGGAAAGAAAGAUCUAGAUUCCAACAAUACCAAGAUCAAAAAUCAAGAUCCAAGAAUGCAGCUGCUCAUGGUCACUGAGGGAGGCUGAGGCAGGAGGAUCACGAGUUCAAAGCCAGCCUCAGCAACAGUGAGGCCCUAAGCAAUUCAGUGAGACCUUGUCUCUAAAUAAAAGACAUAAAAGGGC